ensembl:lncRNA
CUCAAAUGAAUUGAUCACAUCUGUAGUUGUAUAAUGAUCAUAACAAUCUGAUUUCACAGGAUUUCCAUCCCACAGCCCAAGCACAUCCCCCCACCCCCCAAACUGUCUCCUCCGGAGACCAUAAGUUUUUCAAUGUCUCUUAGUCAGCAUCUGUUCUGCAAAGAAGUUCCGUCUGUCCUUUUUUCAGAUUCCACAUGUCAGUGAAAGCAUUUGAUGUUGGUGUUUCAUUGUAUGGCUGACUUCACUUAGCAUGCUGUCAUCUGCUUUUAAGUUGAAAUGCCAAUCUUGGCAAAAAAUAUCAUACCACCUUUUAUCUGAUCGGCAACUAAAAGUACAAUAAACAGGAGUUCCCACUGUGGUUCACUGGUAACAAACUCAACUAGUAUACAUGCAGAUGUGGGUUCGAUCUCUGGCCUCGAUCGAUGGGUUAAGGAUCCAGUGUUGCCGUGAGCUGUGGUGUAGGUCGCAGAUGUAGCUCAGAUCCCGCGUGGCUGGCAGCUGCAGCUCUGAUUCAACCCCUGGCCUGGGAACCUCCAAAUACCAUAGAUGCGGCCCUAAAAAAAAAAAAAAAAAGGCAAAGAAAGAAAAAAGUACAAUAAACAGAAUAAAUAAAUCAUUAAGGAUGAUUUAGAUGCUAUUAUUUAGGUGUCAGUUUAUCUGAGGAAUACAGCAUUCAACAUUGACACUGGGGAGUAAUAUCCCCAUUUUACAGAUGAGACACAAGAAUAUAAAGAUCAUGUGACUUGUUCUGAUGACACAGCAGGUUAACAACCGUGCCAGGAAUACAAGUGCAACCAGCAUGUGAUGUAAUACACAAUGAAAUUCGAUUUUCAUGAAUAUGGCGAUCUAGCUAAAUUGGCCAGUGAUUAAGAGUUCAUCUCACACUCAGGAAAAAUAACCGACAGUUCUUUUAAAGAAGGAAAGGCAGGCUUUGAUUAUUUAACCUCUAAAUUAAUGGUCUAGAUUCAAAUAAGCAAAUAAAACACCAAAUGAGUUAAUACACACAUAAGAUAGCCCCAAACCUACAGAUAUGAAUUAAGUAGAAUCCAAACCCAAUAUUUUAGUUGGCCACUUUGCUACAGAGACAGUUCAUUAUAUGAAGACUAUCUAAUUAAACUUUUCAUCUAAUAUCUGUGAAGUGCCUAUUCCAUGCUGGCCUUGUAUUAUAAGCACUGUACGUUACCUCAUUUAAUCACAGUGAAGGAUGCUGAAAAAGCGUUUGUGAAGAGGACUAGCAAGCUCACAUUCAGAGAAGGAAUGAGAAUGCAGUGCUUGAAACCAGCUCACGAGGUUUAAAAGCAGCACAUGUUUCCAGAAUCAAGAUGGUAAAAGAGCUAGCAGCAGACGAGGACAACAACUCCUAAAAUGUACUUUAUCCACUGCAAAAAGAAACUAAAGAACAUGCAUCUUGGGAGCUAUAGGCUGCACUCCCCACCUCUCCACCCCUGAGCCACUAUGUGUGCUUCACCACAUUAAUUUUCUACCCCUUCAAGAUUUCCAUUAAAAUCUAAAAAAAAAAUGGGGGAGUUCCUGUUGUGGCGCAGCGGAAACAAAUCCAACUAGGAACCAUGAGGUUGCCGUUUUGAUCCCUGGCCUUGCUCAGUGGGUUAAGGAUCCAGCGUUGCUGUGAGCUGUGGUGUGGGUUGAAGAUGCGGCUCAGAUCCUGCGUUGCUGUGGUGUAGGCCGGCAGCUGUAGCUCCGAUUCAACCUCUAGACUGGGAACCUCCAUAUGCCAUGGGUGUGGCCUUAAAAAGAUAAAAGACAAAAAAAAAAACCUAAAAAAAUGAAUGUUUGCUUCAACAGUCCAAAUUUAUUCCCUAAUUUAAAAAUUUUACAACAAAAUUCCAUAUUCUAGUCUGAAAAAUGACAAAAGAUAUACAGAUUAAAUGCACAUUAAGACAAACAGUGUUGGAGUACCCGUUGUGGCUCAGCAGUAAAGAACCUGCCUGACUAGGAGCCACGAGGAUAUGGGGGGUUUGACCCCUGGCCUCGCUCAGUGGAUUAAGGAUUCAGUGUUGCUGUGAGCUGGGAGGUAGGUUGCAGAUGUGGCUGGGAUCCCACGUUGCUGUGCCUGAGGUGUAGGCCGGCAGCUACAGCUUCGAUUCAACCCCUAGCAGCCUAGGAACCUCCAUAUGCUUCAGGAGCAGCCCUAAUGAGACCAAAAACAACAACAACAAGAAGACAAACAGUGUUAAAACAUACAUAGUAAAACAGGCAACUUUCUUAUACAACUAGAAGCUUAUCUCUCGGCAUUCACGCAUAAGGCUUUCAUCUCUACCUAAAAAUGUUAUUCUUACUUCGAAACCCUGGUCCCAAGGCCUUUUAUCUUGUGCCUGUGCAAUCUAAUAGUUGUUACUCAAUAACUACUCAAUAGUCAUUGAUCUCUGCUUUCAGUCCCUCCUCAAACAGGGUAGACUGGCUUCUACCCACAGAACUCAAUGCCAAAGCACUCUUUCAAGAAGGUUAAAUAAAUAUUGCUGUACUGGAAAACUUAAGAAUUUCUUGUUUUCUACAGAAUAGUGAUCUAAUAGUAUUCGAGAUCCUCCAGUUUAUCAAACCAUCAAGCCAUUUCUUCCAUUUCUGGCUGGUCCCUUCAUUAUACCCCAAUACUUCACUUUCUCCCUUCUUUCCACGCCACAAAUGCCAAUCGGUGCCUACAAUAUACCGGGUACCUUCCUAGGAGCAGAGGAUAUGGCAGUGCCUUCGCGGAGCUUACAUUCUGCAUUGAGAACUUUGUCUAGAUACUCAUGUUGCAACAGAACAAAGGGGGGGGAAAAAAAUGUAACUGUAAUGUAUACAUGUAAGGAUAACUUGAUCCCCUUGCUGUACAGUGGGAAAACAAAACAAAACAAAACAAAAAAAACAAAGGAGUAGAGGUUUCAGGUAAGCAAGGAAGUCAAGCUGCUCUCUGUGGAAAGAGCAAGGAGGUGGGCAAAGGGUGUGUUUGAACUGUUCAAAGACUGGGCAGGAGUAAAGAAGAAGAGGAGGCCAAAGACAGCCAGGGGAGCAAGUCACAUAGGGCCUUAGAGCCCAUGCAGGGCAUCUGACUGCUUUCAUGCUGAGUGAGGUAGAACGCUACUGGAGAGCUCUGGUAAGAGGAAUAAUACAGUGUGACAUUUAAAAGGGUCACUCUUGGGAACAGGCUUCGGAGAGGGCUUGAGGAAGAAGAAAAGUGGGGAGGUUGGUUAGAAAAUCACCAAAACAACACAGGCAAGAGAUAAUGGCAGCACAGACAGGAUGAAGGCAGUAGGACUCAGGAGCAGCGGUCAAGUUUCAUGGUCAUUCUUGACACCAGACCUUUGCUUACGCCAGUUCUCCAUCUGGCUUGUAUCUAUUUAGUUCUCCCAGAAUCCAGUUUAAAUUACAUCUUCUUCAAGAAACCUUCCCCAACCAAUCCCAUUUCCAGUGAUUACCCAUUGCUCUGAACGCUUACUGACACCUGCCCAUACCACCGAGUGACUGACUGGCAUUAGUUUCUGCUACAACCUACAAUUAUUUACCUAUGUGGCAUCUAUGUCCCUAUUUUACCACAUUAUCCUUGAGAAAGAAAACACUUUCUCACUCUUGGCAUCUUCAUUUUGCUGCAUAAAAUAGACAUUUAAUAAAGGUUCGCUAAUAAUUAAAUUGCAUCACCUAUAAAUUACUAUUCCUCUAGAGAAAGUAUCACAUAUUCACUUUCUCCUUAAACUGCCAAAGCCUGACAGAGCUGUGCUGAGGAAACCUGUGCCAGCACCUAGGCCACACAUCAUCUUGAGCUACUAUUUGCAGAAGUUGCUUACUUAGCCACGACUAGUUUCUUUGGACCAGCGGUUUUCAAAGAGUGGUCUCUGGACCACUGGCAUCAGCAUCACCUGGGAAUUUAUUAGGAAUGGGAACUCCCAGGCGCACCCAAAUCUAAUGAACUUGGAAUUAUGGAGGUGGGGCUCAGCAAUCUGUGCAUUUUCAUGCACUAUCAAGUUUGAGAAUCAUUGCUUUGGCCUAGAGGUCUCACAAAUUACCCUGUUUUCCCAAGAGAUUUCCAUCCUGGCUCAUAUCCUCCUUCACCUCAACCAUCAGCAGAAGUCCGAGCCUUCCAGAUGGCUCACCCCAUACAGCUCUGCACAGCCAUGCUCCCGAUCCCGUCUCCCACUCGCCCUCGCCCUCUCAGGCCCCAGCAGCUGUGAGCUACCCUCAGUCAAGUCUCCUGUACACCCGCUCUCUUCUCUGUGAUGUGCCCUUCACCUUUUCGCUCUAAAGGAGACCUGCGUGCUCCCGAGAACGCGGCUUCUUCAGUGGAAGCUUUUCUCCUUCCCGUACAUACCUCAGCAGGCCAAGCAUCCCCCUCCUCCCUGUUACCAUCUAGCGCUGAACCUCAGAGGGAUCCUCCUCGCCUUCCAGGACGCCUUCCAAAUCUCGACACGCUCUUCCACCCCAAGUACAGGUCCUCUGAAACAGGCUUCACCCGCCUCAUGGCUUACGACGGGGCUCCCUGUCUUCAUCUCCUUUAUUAGUUUUGUCAUUCUUGAAACUGCGACAACCACAUAGAUGAUUCAUUAACUACUCUGGCCUCCCUGGUGUUGCUGUUGUCCUAAUUGCUUAAGCACAAACUAUAUUUUUUCACAACUUCUCCUAAGCCACCCACCUAGCAUCACUCUCUGGGCACUGCCACCACUAAUAACCAUAUCAUCUCCAAAAAUCUCAAGCAUUUCAAGCAUUCUCCUCUCACAUGAUCAAGUGUGCCCGCUCUAGUAGUUUCCCUACUGUCGCGUUUCUCCAGCCACCUCCCAAUGGCUAAUCUACAAGUCGGUCCCACCACUUCCCCAGCACCUCUACCCGCUCUCUCCUCCUCAUGUUCUUUAUUCCCUCCUAAGCCAGUUUAGAUUCUAGGGUCCAACACUAUAUGUAAGGCUUUUCAAAAAAUCCUAGUUCCCUUGUCCUCUUUCUCUUAAUCUAACUUAGCUGGUAAAAUCGCAAUUCCUGGCUAAAUCCAACUACUUAUUUAACCCUCUUUUGCAUCUAAACGAUAGAAGAUAGCUGGAUUAAAAAUCACACCAUUGACUUGCCAUCACUAAUGUCAAGUUUAUGACCACAGAUUUUAAGCAUCCUACACCUCCCCAAUAAGUUCACUUUUUUUUUUUUUUGGUUGCACCCAGGGGAUAGAGAAGUUCACAGGCCAGGGAUAGAACCCAUGUCACAGCAGCCACCCAAGCUGCAUCAGUGACCCAAGCCACUGCAGUGAUAUUGCUGGAUCCUUAACCUGCGGUGCUCCAAGGGAACUCCUACUUCCUAUUUUUUGAGAUGGCCACUACUUCACAUCUUGUCCUGUCUCCUCAAACCUGCAACACUUCUUCUCCACUCUCUACACUAACACUUUCAGCUGUGUUCAUCUUACAUGUUAUAAGGCAGACACAGAGGAGUCCCUCUUCCGCCUGAAAACGCCAACAGCCUGCUUGGCUCUAAACCCACACACUCUGCCCUAUUAAAAAGAAAAAAAUCUGCUUCUGGCCAAUCCCUCUUCUGUGUGCUAGAUAUAAGAGACUUUGUUCCUGCAAUGAUCCUCUUUCUUCUCAGCACCCCAAUUUCUCCCCCCACCACUGGAUCUUUCCUAGUGACAUGAAGCAUGCCUUAACAUCACCCAUCUUUCAAAACUCAUCCCUUGAACCCACUACCCAUCUGGUUACUAUCCCAAUUCUUUGCUCCACCCCAAACUAAAUAACAUUUCAUUGUCGCAACAACUUCAUCUGCCAAUUAGCAACUCCAACUCCUUCCAACUGGCUUUUUUUCUCCACACGCCUCCAUUUCAAACAGCUCUGAUGGAGUUCACCAACCACCCACAUCCUACCAAGGCCAGUGACCAGUUAUAUGGUGUUCAGUAACCCAAGCCCAAUACUUCCUUCCCCAGUCUGUGAUAUCACAUACGUGUCUUGUUUCCCUCCUACCUUACCCACAUCUCAGCAUCCUCAGACCUCUAGUGAAAUGCCUCAGGGCUUCAACCUCAGCCUGAUUCUCUAGUUACAUUUCCUCCCAAUGCUUUAAAUGUGCACCGACAAAUCCCAACCAUAUCCCUACAUCUCGCGUCUCUCUUCUGAGCAUCAAAUUGUCACUGAACUUCUGCACUCGGGUAUCUACCAGACAUUUCAGACGAAACAAGUCCAAAGCAUUUUUUUUUUUU